rnacentral:rRNA from 1 species
UACGUAGGGUGCGAGCGUUAAUCGGAAUUACUGGGCGUAAAGCGUGUGUAGGUGGCCGCGCAAGUCGGAUGUGAAAGCCCUGGGCUCAACUCAGGAAGUGCACCCGAUACUGCGUGGCUCGAGUACCGGAGAGGUUGGUGGAAUUCUCGGUGUAGAGGUGAAAUUCGUAGAUAUCGAGAGGAACACCUGUGGCGAAGGCGGCCAACUGGACGAGUACUGACACUGAGACACGAAAGCGUGGGGAGCAAACAGG